UUAAGUUCAGCGGGUAAUCCUACCUGAUUUGAGGUCAAAUGGUCAAGUAUUGUCCUUGCGGACGGUUAGAAGCUGGAAGGCUUAUAUACACGCUAACGACCCAAAAGGCGUAGAUAAUUAUCACACCAAUAAGGCUGAAGGCGCAAACCCAGCUAAUGUAUUUCAGAGGAGCCGACUUUAAAAAGCCCGCAACCUCCACA
rnacentral:misc_RNA from 1 species